GCCUCACCACCCAGAUCGCCGCUGCCACCCCCCACUCCACCAGCAGCCUGUUCCUCAAGGCCAUGGACGGCCGGCCACGCCGCCGCAAGAGCCUGUACUCCCGGGCGCGGCUGGGCUCCGGCAACGCCGCCAACCCCCAGGGGGCCGGCGCGGCCACGCCCGGCAUGCCCAACGGCGGGGGCCCGGACCCCGGGAAGUGCCCCCCCGUCACCCCUCAGCGCAGGCCCUCUGCCACCGAGCUGCUGCUCAGCCCCAUCCUACAGUUCGUGUCCCAGGGCCAGAAGGCCUUCGACUACCUGAGCCCCACCGGCCCGGCGGACCAGGGCGGGGCCGGGGCCCUGGUCCCCGAGGCCGAGGGGGCCGGGGUGGCGGAGGAGAAGGAGGUGGAGGAGCUGAAGGAGGAGGCUGAGGAGGAGCGCCCUCCGGUUACCGCCCAGCGGAGACCGUCCGCCAUCGAGGUGCUGCUCAGCCCCAUCCUACAGUACCUGAGCCCCGCCCUGCCCGCGGAGCAGGACAAGGAGGAGGACGAGGACGAGGACGAGGAGGAGGAGGGGGCCAGGCUGGCCGAGGAGGAGGAGGUGGAGGAGGAGCUGAAGGAGGAGGAGGAUGAGGAGGCUGAGGAGGAUCGCCCUCCCGUUACCGCCCAGCGAAGGCCGUCCGCCAUCGAUGUGCUGCUCAGCCCCCUCCUACAGUACCUGAGCCCCGCCCUGCCUGCGGAGCAGGACAAGGAGGAGGAGGAGGAGGAGGACGAAGACUGAGGAGGCCGGAGACUGAGGGGCCCACUGCGGUGGGGCCCCCCACCUCCACAGCAGGAUGUGCAAGUGCUGGGAGGGGAGGAAGAGGAGGAGGAAGAGGAGGAGGGAGAGGAGGGGGUGCCUUUGUCAACAGGCAUAUGGGUCGAUUAGCUUAGAGCCUCAACCAGUCGUUGGGGCUCAGUGUCGUGUUGUCCGUGGUGACGGGGUAGGAACACAACACUGUGAUCCUCAACACGCAUCCAGAGCUCCACCUUUGAACCACCUUAAACUCCUGAAUACAACUAUUUACUAUAGGGAUGUUUUCAGUAAAUACAGAUAUUAUACGUUCAGUUCAUCAGGUCAUGUGAUGUUUCUAGCAGAAGCAGCCAGAGGAUGUGUUAGUAAGGGGAUACGAAUGGAGGCUUAUUGACGGCAGUCGCUCACUGAUGUCAACUGUGGCUUCAGAGUGUAUGUAUUUAAAAAUAAAAUUGCAAUAUUAACCGUUUCCAUGUUCUACUGCCUUUAAUUUAAUAAUGAACCACAGAAUAAAUGUUCUACUCACAGAAAGCACUUUUAAAAGCCUGGUUAAUGUCAAACUGACAAAUUUUAGUCUUCACUUCUACCCAAGAUGUACUUUUGUGACAUGCGCACACAAUCUGUACACUUUGAUUAUGGAGAUGAGAAGGUUGGGGUGGUUUUGCCUUCCGUC
ensembl:lncRNA